rnacentral:rRNA from 1 species
GACGAACGCUGGCGGCGUGCUUAACACAUGCAAGUCGAGCGAGGUCCAUCCAGUGGCAACACUGGGGAAGACCUAGCGGCGAACGGGUGAGUAACACGUGAGCAACCUGCCCCGAAGACUGGGAUAACACCGGGAAACCGGUGCUAAUACCGAAUGUCCUCCUCUGGUCGCAUGGCCUAAGGAGGAAGGGAAUUUUGCUUCGGGAGGGGCUCGCGGGCUAUCAGCUUGUUGGUGAGGUAACGGCUCACCAAGGCGACGACGGCUAGCUGGUCUGAGA